rnacentral:rRNA from 1 species
UACGGGGGGGGCAAGCGUUGUUCGGGUUCAUUGGGCGUAAAGGGUGCGUAGGUGGCGGGGUAAGUCAGGUGUGAAAUCUCGGAGCUCAACUCCGAAACCGCACCUGAUACUGCCUUGCUCGAGUACUGGAGAGGAGAUUGGAAUUUACGGUGUAGCAGUGAAAUGCGUAGAUAUCGUAAGGAAGACCAGUGGCGAAGGCGAAUCUCUGGACAGUUACUGACACUGAGGCACGAAGGCCAGGGGAGCAAACAGG